rnacentral:misc_RNA from 1 species
ACAAACUUGGUCAUUUAGAGGAAGUAAAAGUCGUAACAAGGUAACCGUAGGUGAACCUGCGGUUGGAUCAUUGGCGAAUAAAUGAGAGGGAGGAGAGAGAGAGAGGGAGAGAGGUUGGUCGGUGGGUGCGACCGAUCUGAAAAAGGAGAGAGAGUGGGGGGGCGAUAGCUGUGUGCUCCUUUUUUACCGUCUCUGGCGGCCGAGGCCUGAGAAUCGGCCGCCAAGGUAAUUGGGAGCAUUGCGAAUCCCCCCCCCCGUUGUAUGGAACUGCUGAACCCCAACCCCACCCUUUCGCUUUUUUUUGCGGGAGGGAGGAGCGGGAGGGGGUCGUGAUGCACGUUGAUUUCGGUUUUCUUUUUGGAAAAAACAAUCGCCUGAACAGAGAAAAAGAACGAAAAACAGAAAAAGAACAACUUUUGACGACGGAUCUCUAGGCUCUCGCAUCGAUGAAGAACGCAGC